CCUACGGGAGGCAGCAGUGGGGGAUAUUGCACAAUGGGGGGAACCCUGAUGCAGCGACGCCGCAUGGGUGAAGGAGUGCUUCGGCAUGUAAAGCCCUAUCGGCAGGGAAGAAGCAAGACGGUACCUGACUAAGAAGCCCCGGCUAACUACGUGCCAGCAGCCGCGGUAAUACGUAGGGGGCGAGCGUUAUCCGGAUUCACUGGGUGUAAAGGGAGCGUAGACGGCCAUGCAAGCCAGGGGUGAAAGCCCGGGGCCCAACCCCGGGACUGCCCUUGGAACUGUGCGGCUAGAGUGCGGGAGGGGCAGGCGGAAUUCCUGGUGUAGCGGUGAAAUGCGUAGAUAUCAGGAGGAACACCGGCGGCGAAGGCGGCCUGCUGGACUGCGACUGACGUUGAGGCUCGAAAGCGUGGGGAGCGAACAGGAUUAGAUACCCCGGUAGUC
rnacentral:rRNA from 1 species